rnacentral:rRNA from 1 species
AUUAACGCUGGCGGCGUGCAUAACACAUGCAAGUCGAACGAUGAAACUCAUUAGAUUUCUUCGGAAUGAAAAUGAAUGGAUUAGUGGCGAACGGGUGAGUAACGCGUGAGUAACCUGCCUUACACAAGGGGAUAGCCUCUGGAAACGGAGAAUAAUACCCUAUGAAACCAGACAAUCGCAUGAUAAUCUGGUCAAAAUGUUUAGUGGUGUAAGAUGGACUUGCGUCUGAUUAGCUAGUUGGUGAGAUAAAAGCUCACCAAGGCAACGAUCAGUAGCCGGCUUGAGAGAGUGUACGGCCACAUUGGGACUGAGACACGGCCCAGACUCCUACGGGAGGCAGCAGUGGGGAAUUUUGCACAAUGGGGGAAACCCUGAUGCAGCGACGCCGCGUGAUUUAGAAGGCCUUCGGGUUGUAAAAAUCUUUUGUAUAGGAAGAAAAUGACAGUACUAUACGAAUAAGGGCCGGCUAAUUACGUG